CUCUUUCUCGAUUCAGUGGAUGGUGGUGCAUGGCCGUUCUUAGUUGGUGGAGUGAUCUGUCUGGUUAAUUCCGAUAACGAACGAGACUCUCCCCUGCUAACUAGUCGGUUGGAUCUUGAUCAGCGGGUUGCGUGCCGAGUAACUCUCGCUGUGCGGGUGGUGCGUCUCGGCCUCACGGUUCGUUGCGUGCUCUCGUGUGGCGUUGGAUGCNGUGGAUCACAC
rnacentral:rRNA from 1 species